AAGCUAGUUUUGUAUGAUCUUGAAAAUCAGACAAUUGGGUGGACCGAAUACAACUGUUCUUCAAGCAUCAAAGUGCAGGAUGAACAGACUGGAACAGUUCAUUUAGUUGGUUCACAUUACAUUUCUUCAGCCCACAGAUUGAAUACCAAAUGGGGUGUGAUCUUGCUAUUCCUAAUCUUGCUGAUGCAUUGGUCAGCUCAUUUCAGAUGCUUUAGCUAACAAACAAUACCAACAACCCAGGAGGUAAUAUUUUUAGUUUGAUAGAAUCAAGUAUACAAGAAAUCCUUGAAAUUUAACUGUAGAUGUUCAACUGAUCGCGGUUGUGUAUAAUGGAAGAG
rnacentral:misc_RNA from 1 species